rnacentral:lncRNA from 1 species
AGAGAACCUCAACGCUCUCACCCUGUCAUCAGGGCAGCCAGACUGAUGUUCCACCUGCUUCUCUCCUGUGCACUUCAGCCUCUGGCUCUUGGCAGGGACAGGGUGGAGGAAAAGGAAAGGGCGGAGGAGUAUAGGGAGACAGGAAGAGGAAUGGAAAAGGACAGAGGGACUCUCCACACUAGAACCCUGAAAGGCCAUGCCUGGAACCUCCUGUG